GUUUGGCGUUGCAGCUGUGUGGGCGCUGGUGCGUGCGAGUAGCGCUCGAAGAAACCCAAAGGCGUCGUGGGGCUGCCGUGUGCCCCAGAGAGCACUGCAGGCCGGGUAGGGGCUAAGGCUCCCCGCAGUCUUCUGUGUGUCGUCCAGUACGCAGUUGAAAUCGUUCUCCAACCUGGCCAGUCCUCCGAGGCCCUUCUCAGGCGACCAGACUCUGUUAACAGAGUCCAUUGCUAAAACUCCUCGUUAGUAUUUACCACUCCUCCAGUCUGUGUUUUGAAGCAGUGGUUUUCAACCACUGCCCGUUUUCAGAAGAAAUCAUCUCAAGCGUCCGUGUGCUGCUAGAAGCCGGGCCGGGAGGUCUUGGUGCCGGACUCCACCCUGCAGCCCUUCCCUUUCGCCACCGCCCUGUGCUUAGAGAAACCUUAGAGUGGAGCAAUGAGUCGCCCUUGACUGAGUAACUCUUCGGGGUCAACUUCUCCUUCCACGCCAAGGAAAGGAUUCCAGGGCGAUGUUUCUGGAAAUAGAGAUCUGACCAAGCCACUGCUCUGGUGAAAAUUCAGUGGGUCCCUAGCACCUAGUGCAGCGGCUCCUAGCCUGAGUAUUGCCGUCUUUCGGUGGGGAGGGGUUGGGUUUUUUUGUAGCAUCUGUUGAUCUGAUCUCCAACAUCCUCCACGUCAAUUCCCACUCCACCCACAUCCCUUAUCCUAUACGUAAGCUUUCCAGCCACGGUGCUGGCUUGGGUGGGGGUGCGUGCGGUGCUGACACCAAAAUGGAGGUCCCGUGUUUCUGAGAGUCUCUUUCAGAGCAAUGCAAACCUGAAACUACUCCUGCCAAGAAACGAUUGCAGCUCUUCCCGGAAAAGUUAAAGCCUUUGAGAAACAAAGCUGAGGUUGAAAGUAUUAGUCCAUUUUAUAGAUGAAGAAAUGGAGGCCCAGAGAGAUCACGUGACUUAGCCAAGUCCACCAAAUUUGGGAUUAAGCCUUAUUUUGCAUUGGGUUUAAUCUCAACAGACACCGAGGGGCACCUGGAGUCCCUGCAAAACCUUGUCUGGUAUCAGCUACCUAUCAGAGGAUGCAGAGGACAAGGGCCUAGGGGAUGCCAAAUUCCAGGGUCCAGAAAGAGCUUGGGAUAAAAUGAACAUCCAAGGGGAGGGCUUUGACCUGGGCUGAGUCUGCCUGUGCCGAGUCUGCCUGUGCCAUCCAACUGGAGUCUCAAGUCCUGAGGCAGGACGUCCAGAUGCCCCAGUGCAGGGUCCUCCUGAUCAACACCUGCUCCCCUGUACUCAUUAGCAACCUCACCCACCCUACUCUCAAAGCACACUUGGCUCUCAUAUCCAGGAGCUCUGCAUCUGUAGAUUCAGCAACAGCAGAUGGAAAAUAUUCAGAAAAUAAAUUGGACAGUUAUAUUUCUAUUGAA
rnacentral:lncRNA from 1 species